rnacentral:pre_miRNA from 1 species
GAUCAAAGUGGAGGCCCUCUCCGCGGCUUGGCGGGAAAGUGCAUCCAUUUUGUUUGU